GUGUCGAUCUAGGAGGUAGUUUUAGUGGGUUUAGGAGUAGUAGUUUGACUUUCUAUCAAACUCUCUAUCCUAUUACUCCAUUAGAUAUAAUUCAUAUAAAAGGAGUAGUAGUACGUAGGUUAGGAGGAUUAGCCUUAGAUUAGGUAGUUUUUUAGUUUUCUUUUUUUCUUUUAGUUUAGUUUGGUUUAGUUUUCUUUUCUCUUUCUCUCUCUAACUUCUUCUUACUCUCUUUCUCUCUCUCUUCUAAUUAAACUCUUAGAUUUUCCUCUCUCUUGUUUUUCUCUCUAAACUCUUGGUUUAUGCAAUUUGAGCUGUGAUGGACCGCUAUCCGGUAGGGGCACGUGUGUCCCAUACUAAGGGCAAAAAAGUCAUUUCUUGUAUAACACAUGGCAGUAACCCAGUGUUAUUACUGAUGUAAAAAAAUGUUUCCCUCUCCUCUUCCAUAAACUUACUGCGCUAUAAAAAUUGGUCCUUCUCUCUCUCGAAAAUUCGUGGCCGGAAAAAUCGUCGGAAAGAUUGCCAUAAACCCUAGCAGAAAACAGCCGAUUUGAAAGCAUAAAAGGGUGUGGAAAGUUGUGAUUUAUGGUGUCGUUUUUGCCCUGUUGAAGAGCGGUUUUUGAGAUCCUGUAAUUUGCGACAAAAGUCAAAGUACUAUACAGAUCGUUACAUUGUCAAAUUGCUUCGUCGGAACAUAAUUGGAAGGAUUAUUACAUACAUUUACCAGUUGUCGUGCCAUAGCAGGUGGCAGAAAGGGUGGUAGGGGAGGACGAAGAGGUGGCCGGGGUUCGCAAUCUGGUGGGCGUGCGAAUUGUGGUGGGCGUGCGCCAUCUACAGUCGCCGAAAAGGUUUGUAAGAAAAUUGAUUAUGUUGUGUACAUGUGUAGGACAAUACAGUUAGUGAGGGUGGUAAGAUUAAGCUACUUGGUAAAGUUAUCGAAAGAAGCAAUGAGGUGCUGAAAAGGCCUGAAAAUGUAAAUUGUCGGGUGGAGAUGUUUGGUAUGAUUUUGAAUGAAUUUUGUGAGGAAAAAAGGAAAAUAGUUAAGGACAUGGGAUUUGCUAGACUAUUUGGUUUAAUUGAUAGGAGAAUUCCUAGGGAGUUGGCUUAUUGGCUUGCUACAAGGGUUGAUGUACCUAAUUAUUGCCUUGUUACUCCGGACGGGCUAGAGUUUACAUUUGACCCUGUUCAAGUCUAGUGGGUUCUUGGCAUUCCAAGGGGUAGUUUUUCGGUCCGGAAGGAAGCAUUUGAUGAAGAGAUGGAAAAUUUUCUUCAAGUUGUCAUUAACCGAUUCAGCAUGACUACACCUAGCAAUGUGAAAGGGAUAGAUAUGAAAAAUUUAGUGAGUUAGUUCAAGCUCCACUUCAAGAUGUUUAUGAGUUUAGAAUAGCAUUCAUGCGUGGAUAUUUUGUGUCCUACAAUAUCUUAUAGGCUUUGUCCUAAGCUUAUACCCGCAGCCAUUGCAGCAAGUCUGCCUCAAUCCUAUGAUUGGUGCACAUUAGUCCUUGAUCAACUUAUGUAUGCUAUUAAGAGAUUUGCAAGGAGGUUUUACCCAAUGGGGUAUUCCAAAGGAUGUGGAGGCUGUACAAUAUUUCUGUCGAUAAUGUAUCUUGAUCGGUUGAAACGACCCCCAAUGAAGUAGGGAGUUUUUCCCUCGAAUGAUAGUGUGGACAGAAACUGAGAUAACAAUGGCCAAGAAGGCUGACCGUCAUACGAAAGGUGAUUUUGGAAAAUUAGGGUGUGUGAAUGUGGCGUAUGGUAGGCCACAUGUAAGGGAUGCAAUGGACAUUAUGCCAGUUAAAAAAAGAGCUGGGGCUGUUGCUGCUAAGGUUGCUGAAGCUUUGUUGAAAGCUGUUGAUGUAGAAGAGGAGGAGGAUGUAGAGGAAGAACUUAUAUCCACUUAAGGUGCGAAAAAACGGUCAAAGGACAGGGCGGGUUAUUUCGGGUGGAAUAAGUCUUCAGGUUCCUCUUCUGCUGCUGUCCCUGACAUAGAUUUUUUUAUUACAUCUCAAGUGGCUUAAUGUGUAGCACACCUGUGCUAAACAAUCAGUGGGAGGAAACCCAAAGAAGGGAGAAGGAGAGACAGGAGAAGGAAAGGCAGGAGCUGGAAGAAGUUAAGAGACAAAGAAAGGAGAGGGAGGAACGGGAGAGGAUUGAGAAGGAAAGGGAGGCUUAAGAGAAGCAUGACGAGGAAAAGGAAAAGAUUGAAAGGCAGGAGCUGGAAAUUGAUAUACAAAGAAAGGAGAUGGAGGAGCGGGAGAGGCUAGAAAUGGAGGCUACGGAGAAACAUGACAGGGAAGAAAAGGCUUGAAAGGGAGGAAAGAGAUAGAAUGGAGAAGGAACAAGAGGAAUUGGACAAGCUUGAGGCAGAGCGAGAGGAAACAGAAAGGUUGGAGAGAGAGAGGUUGGCGAGGGAGGAAAAAGAGAGGUUGUAAAGUGAGGAGGAAAAACAGAAAAGGAUCCUAUUACGAGGGCUAGAAAUCCAGGAGAGAAGUGAUCAUGAGAUAAGUUUCAGUUCUGAGGAGGAAGGGUUUGAUGAAUGUGGUUCACCGUCGACCUUGGUUGAAAGAAGUCAACGGAAACGGAAGACAACGGCAACACCCAGUCGAAUAGUUCAAGGGUAUGUAAUCACAUGGCGGCCUAGGAAGCAUCGAAGCCUCUGCCAACCAUUGUUUGAUUUUGUAAGAGUGAACACAAAUUUCUCCCCAAGGAGGAGGCAGCAUAGUAACAUUUAAGAAGAUCCGGUCAUGCUAAGGUGUGAUGGAGAGGUAGCAACUCUUAGUAUGUGUUCUGGUGUAGCGCUGAAUAGGGGCCAAGUAGGUAAUGUAGUACACGAUAACAAGUUAUGUUUUUUCAACUGUUAAUAAAGUAAAAAGCUUAUCUGAUUUGAUAUCACCAUGAUGUGUAUAGUAUGUUAGGGUUGCUGGUAAAUUGUAUGAAAAGGUUUGGGCUCAUCGCUUUAAAGGUCGUAGUCGACGGUUCAUGUUGGAUCCUGCAUUUGUGAUUCGUGUUUUGAAAAUGAAGAAUUCAAAAGAGUUGGACCGGGUCACACGUGUGUUUAGUAGUCAGAUGUUUGGUUUAACACCGAACCUGAUUAACGUGGUCUUUGUCCCUGUUGUUUUAAACAAUCACUGGUGGUGUGUGGCCUUUUCGCUUAAUCAGGAAGAGAUUCUAAAGAUGGACUCUAUCGAAACGUCCACUGCUGCAGAUCUCCACUGGCUACAUGUGAAGCAACUGAUGAAGAGAUCAUAUAAAAUGAUGAAGAACCUUCCCCAUCUUCCUCAACAAAUCAAAUGGAGCUAAUUAAUUCCUCGUUUGUUAGAGGAGUAUUUGGCCAGACUUGCUGCCUACAAAGAUGUAGAAUUGGAUAAGAUUCGAGAAUAAUGGGCUAAGUUUUUAAGGCUUAAUUUUUUGUUGAAAGACUAGUUAUCUUAUUAAUCGAUGUUAUGAUUAAUCUCAUUUAACUUAAUAAAACAAUAUAACACUUUUCUUUAUAUCUACUUUUAUUUAGCCUAUUAGUUAUUGUUAUUACAUUUCUAAAUUAUUAAUCAAUUUAUUUUUUUAUUCAAGUUUUAAUUGCGCUGCUUUUUGGAAAGUAUAGUUAAUUUUGUUGCAUUGUAUUGUUGUGGAUGAAUAAUUCAAGUUGUGUGGAAUUAUUUGGAGUGUUUGUAUUGUAUGUUAUGGGUGAAUUUAAGUUAUAUAUGGAAGUAUUCAGAGUACGUAUUUUGUUGGUUGAAUUGUAACAGGUUGUAACCCAUUUGACGAUGGGUCGUUUUGUAGGAUAUAUUAUCAUUCUUGUAUUCGAAUCAAAUAUUUAUAUAAAAAAUUAUUUAUUUAUUAGUAACUAGCGUAAUCAAAUGCUAGUUACUAAUAGUAUUUUUUAAAAAAAAAUUAAAAAAAAUAUAUUUAUAA